CGGACCACCAGGGGGCGGCCGCGGACCACAGUUUGAGAAAGACUGCUGUAGAGUUAAUAUUCUGCACAUUGCGGAUACAUAAAGUUUACCAUGCUGCUGCUGCUGCUGUUGUCCUUUGCCGCCUCGGGCAAUCUGUUGGCCACCACUUCUCAAGACUUUCUCAUUGAGAUUCAUAGAAACGUGUACCAUUUUGGCCUCAUUCACUUCAGACCUUUCGACCUGAUGUCACACAGAUUGGUUUUGGUUCAGACUCGUCUUGGCCCACUGAGCCGACGGUGAGGAGCUGAAUUACUCCCUCUGAGAACAGAAAAUACCAGGAGACCCUCUGAUCACAGCUCUCUGCUGCAUCUGAUGAGGUCUGGAGGGAGAGCUGCUGCAUGCUAAUGGCAAGAGACGCAAGAAACAGAGAGAGAAAAUGCAGGAAGAGAGGGCGCUAAAUCUGAGCUGCGUUUCAACAGGACGAUCUUUCAGGAGCCCUUAGAGUCCAACCUGAACUCAAGAGUUCAGAUGGCAGGAAGAGGAAGUGUAGCUCCUGGCAGAUGUCAUGACCUAUUUCAUACUGAUUAACUUUUACACAACUUCUUACAGGACUCAAGGGAUGUGAAGUACUUCUUACAGAGAAAAGCUGUCAGUUAAAGGGGACCGAUUAUGCAAAAUUUACAUUUUGGACACCUUUGUACUUCCAUUUUCCUCUACAAACAGUUCAAGUGCUUAAGAAAAACAAAAACACCCAGCCGUC